UAGGGAAUCUUCCACAAUGGACGCAAGUCUGAUGGAGCAACGCCGCGUGAGUGAAGAAGGUCUUCGGAUCGUAAAGCUCUGUUGUUGGUGAAGAAGGAUAGAGGCAGUAACUGGUCUUUAUUUGACGGUAAUCAACCAGAAAGUCACGGCUAACUACGUGCCAGCAGCCGCGGUAAUACGUAGGUGGCAAGCGUUGUCCGGAUUUAUUGGGCGUAAAGCGAGCGCAGGCGGAAUGAUAAGUCUGAUGUGAAAGCCCACGGCUCAACCGUGGAACUGCAUCGGAAACUGUCAUUCUUGAGUGCAGAAGAGGAGAGUGGAACUCCAUGUGUAGCGGUGGAAUGCGUAGAUAUAUGGAAGAACACCAGUGGCGAAGGCGGCUCUCUGGUCUGCAACUGACGCUGAGGCUCGAAAGCAUGGGUAGCGAACAGGAUUAGAUACCCUGGUAGUCCAUGCCGUAAACGAUGAGCGCUAGGUGUUGGGGACUUUCCGGUCCUCAAUGCCGCAGCAAACGCAUUAAGCGCUCCGCCUGGGGAGUACGACCGCAAGGUUGAAACG
rnacentral:rRNA from 1 species